UAACACAUGUACAUACAUGCCAGAUUUACAUGUAAUUAACUACAUCUGGACAUGUCAUACUAAGUUUUACUUUCUUGUUGUUUGACUACAAGUUUACUUUGUAAAUUAAACAAAAUUUAAAACGGAACAAAAAAUUUAAAUAGAUAUAUAUACACAUAUACAUUGUACUUGUAUAUAAAUUAUAAACAUCAAAUGCAAUGUUGUGUAACAAUAUACCAAGUUUUAUCUCAACUUUACUUCUAAACAGCACUAAAAUUGCAAAAUAUGAGAACAGAAGCUAUUUUCCUCAUCUAGUGUUUAAUUUUAUGGAAUAAAUAUCAUAUUCGCUCUGAAUAGAGACAUAACUAACAUAAUAUUAUGCCUCUGUGUACAUGUACAAUUCUUCCAUGCACUCUUAGAAAAAGGUAAGAUGUAAAACGAAAUUCUGAGCGUAUAUGAAUAAAUCACAUCACGAAACUGAUACCACCGCGAUAAUGUACAAGUAAGUAUACAUCAAAAUAGUUAGGACAAAAUGACCCGGGGCGAAUCAGCCAUUGGUCAAGACACCGUAAAACCUAUAUUUUCGAAGGAAGUCAUGUGUUCGGAGAUUAUUUAUCAAAUUAAGAGUCUGAGACAGUUGUUUUUCAGUGAUUCAUCAGUAUGUGAUAUUUGCCCAAAGAUGGAUCUUAAUACCCACAUACUUGGACAAAGAAUAGAGAUUUUCAUGGGAUUUAUCUCCAGAGGUCUAAUGCAGAAUAAAAAUUAAGAGUCUGGACAGAAGCGAAUAUGUGUAUCAAUGGACUAAACCUAUCUUGAGCUGGUACCGGUUUUCUAAGCAACAAUGUUGGUAGGCGACAGUGGCCCACUGUCUCAGUUUUGCCACAGUCCAGGGUCAGCACCAAGCUACAUGUAUAGGACUCCUACCUAAUUACUAAAAUUAUCUUUAUGAAGAAAAUUUACAAGACUUCUUGAUGACUGGGAAGACAUAUUAAAUCUGAUUGAAUUUACACACUUGAUUGAUUAGCUUUGUCAACACAAUAGCCAAAUAUAAACUAGUAUACUAUUUUAGCAUUAUUUAACAAGUAUAAGUCAGACAGUUUAGAAUUUUAUGAUCCUAUAGUAAAGGAAAAAUUACAGUGUUUAGAUAUAUUCAAUUCAUCUCAGUUGUUCUUAAUGCAUAUGCAUGUACAUGUAUAAAUACAUGUAUAUGACUUUUUUUAAUAAAGUAUACAUAUAUAGCUGAUGUAAUGACAUUGAUAUAAUCAGAAUUGAUAUGUGUAUAGGUAUUCUGUAUU